rnacentral:rRNA from 1 species
GAUGCAACGCGAAGAACCUUACCUGGUCUGGACAUCCACAGAACUUAGCAGAGAUGGUUUGGUGCCUUCGGGAACUGUGAGACAGGUGCUGCAUGGCUGUCGUCAGCUCGUGUUGUGAAAUGUUGGGUUAAGUCCCGCAACGAGCGCAACCCUUAUCCUUUGUUGCCAGCGGUUAGGCCGGGAACUCAAAGGAGACUGCCAGUGAUAAACUGGAGGAAGGUGGGGAUGACGUCAAGUCAUCAUGGCCCUUACGACCAGGGCUACACACGUGCUACAAUGGCAUAUACAAAGAGAAGCGACCUCGCGAGAGCAAGCGGACCUCAUAAAGUAUGUCGUAGUCCGGAUUGGAGUCUGCAACUCGACUCCAUGAAGUCGGAAUCGCUAGUAAUCGUAGAUCAGAAUGCUACGGUGAAUACGUUCCCGGGCCUUGUACACACCGCCCGUCACACCAUGGGAGUGGGUUGCAAAAGAAGUAGGUAGCUUAACCUCGGGAGGGC